rnacentral:rRNA from 1 species
UGACCCCAUGCCGAACUCAGAAGUGAAACUCCGUAGCGCCGAUGGUAGUGUGGGGUCUCCCCAUGUGAGAGUAGGGAACUGCCAGGC